AACGAACGCUGGCGACGUGCCUAACACAUGCAAGUCGAACGAGAAAGGGAUUUCGGUCCUGAGUAAAGUGGCGCACGGGUGAGUAACACGUAGGUAACCUACCUCUAAGUUUGGGAUAACCUGUCGAAAGAUGAGCUAAUACUGAAUAAGACCACAGUUUCCUCGGAAGCAGGGGUCAAAGGUAGCCUCUAUUUAUAAGCUAUCACUUAGAGAUGGGCCUGCGUACCAUUAGCAGUUGGUGAGGUAACGGCUCACCAAGGCAAAGAUGGUUAGCUGGUCUGAGAGGAUGAUCAGCCACACUGGAACUGAGACACGGUCCAGACUCCUACGGGAGGCAGCAGUGGGGAAUAUUGCGCAAUGGGCGAAAGCCUGACGCAGCAACGCCGCGUGAGUGAUGAAGGCCUUCGGUCGUAAG
rnacentral:rRNA from 1 species